rnacentral:rRNA from 1 species
UACGUAGGGUGCGAGCGUUGUCCGGAAUUAUUGGGCGUAAAGGGCUCGUAGGCGGUUUGUCGCGUCGGGAGUGAAAACCCAGGGCUUAACCCUGGGCUGGCUUCCGAUACGGGCAGACUAGAGGUAUGCAGGGGAGAACGGAAUUCCUGGUGUAGCGGUGAAAUGCGCAGAUAUCAGGAGGAACACCGGUGGCGAAGGCGGUUCUCUGGAUCGAUACUGACACUAAGACGCGAAAGCGUGGGUAGCAAACAGG